AUGUUCGCAGGAAGCCUGAAAAAAGGAGCGGGCAGAAAGGACAUUAGAAGCUAAAAGCAGGAGACAUUGGUGAAAGCAGUGGCUGAGCCAACCGGAAAUAAUCAGACUCAUGAGCUAAUUGUCAUAUUUUAUUUAUCCAAAGUCCACAUCCAUUUUUAAGUUGAAACCAACCCUAUUGAUAGAUGCUG